CCCAAGGAAGCUCAUGCAUGUAUCCGCCCCUCCCUUACGUUUUCGGGCCUAUUGCCAAGCCUUUGCAUCUGUUGUCUUGGCUCCAUUCGCCAUCUUCUUUGAGAGCCACCAGUCUGCCUCACUGUCAUUCAACUUGCUCUGCAAGAUCUUCUUCGUUUCUUUAUUUGGGAUCACAGUGAGCUUCAAUAUGAACUCUCUGUCGAUGGACUAAGUGUCGGCGACAUUCACGGUGGCCAUCAGCAACACUAUUCCGGCCACCACCUUCAUCAUGGCUCUCCUCUUAAGUCUAUGUGGAGCUCUGUUGCUGGUUGGAGGGCUCUAUGGCUACCUGUGGGGCAGACAACAAGAAGGGAAAGUUGAGAAGGAAGAAAAAAAGGCUGCAGAAACCACCCAAGAAACUAUGAGAGUGGUUUAAACACAUCAUCAGC